UACGUAGGUGGCAAGCGUUGUCCGGAAUUAUUGGGCGUAAAGCGCGCGCAAGCGGUCCUUUAAGUCUGAUGUGAAAGCCCACGGCUCAACCGUGGAGGGUCAUUGGAAACUGGGGGACUUGAGUACAGAAGAGAAGAGUGGAAUUCCUGGUGUAGCGGUGAAAUGCGCAGAUAUCAGGAAGAACACCCGUGGCGAAAGCGGCUCUCUGGAACGGUACUGACGCUGAGACGCGAAAGCGUUGGGAGCGAACAGG
rnacentral:rRNA from 1 species